ensembl:lncRNA
ACCAGGCUGAUCCUGGACCAUCCCACAGAUGCUCAAUCAGAUCUGGAUGUGGGGAGUGUGGAACCCAGAUGUUCAGAGGGAGAUGAUGCCACAUCUGGUCCAGCUGAUGGAAGGUCUUGAAGUUCUCUGACUGGCCUCGACUGAAGAUGGUCGUCUCACUGGAUUUAAGGUUCAGAUGCUCAGUAACAAACUCCACCAAUGAGCCAACAGGGAAGCUUUAGGUUUAUUAAAUGUUACUAUGAAGGUUUCGCUGUUUUUCUUUGUGAAUGCAAUGUGCUCCAACUGAAACUUGAAUUAGAACUUAGAAGUAAAUCCUUCCAUCUGAAAGAAUUAGUUGCAUUAAUAACCUCAUAACAUUCUAAUUUUUAUUCCAGUCUUGGUUGGAAAUAGAAUCUCUGUAGUGAUUCAGGUAAAAACUGAACUUCACAGCAUGUUGGAGCAAAACAACCAGAUGAAAACUGUGAUGGUGUUGGAUUGUCAGACCGUAAUGUUGCAGCUCAAAGCAGCUUUUCUAUCUCAGUUCAUUCUGACAUUCAGCUAUGAAUCAACACAGCAGAUGGUGAUCCAUGCUGUGGAAGUCUCACAUCUCCUGAUUUAAUGGAGCUGCUUUGCACUUUUUACACUGUUUAUUCACCAACACUUUAUUUAAUAAAAGUCCCAUCGAGUUUUUAUGAGGAAUGUGAUGUUUUAAUUUCUCUGUGAAUAACUGCAGUCUAAUGCAACAGCUGGAGUUGUAACAUCUGUCCUGAUAUUGAUCAUGAAGUAUUGAUCAGAAUACUUAUGGUCAGCAGUCAUCCCUGAAGUUUUACAUUAAAAUCUUUACUUGUGUUGUGAACUUUGGUAAGAAGCAGAAACGUUAGCAUUGCCAUGGAUACAUGAGUGUUAAAUUCUGUCCAUGUUUCAUUUUGGGAAAUGCAGUCCAGUUCCAGAAUGUGGAGGAAUUUAGUCUCACAAUCACAGACAACAAAUAUUAUCUGAAAGUCGGGUUAUUGUUGUUU